rnacentral:misc_RNA from 1 species
CGCACAUUGCGCCCACCAGUAUUCUGGUGGGCAUGCCUGUUCGAGCGUCAUUUCAAACCCUUAAGCCCUGCUGCUUAGUGUUGGGGACCGCUAUACUUAGCGGCCUCUAAAGACAUUGGCGGAGUUGUUUAGGGCUCUCAGCGUAGUAAUUCUUCCUCGCUUUAGAGACCUAGCGGCGCUUGCCACAAGCCUAUUUUCUCAAGGUUUGACCUCGGAUCAGGUAGGAAUACCCGCUGAACUUAA